UAGGGGGUGUAACGUACCCUCUAGCCAUCAACGCGUACGGGUGUUGGGAGACAUAGCCCGGAGAUGGAUUCUGAGACACGAAUCCAGACCCUACGGGGUGCAGCAGGCGCGAAAACUUGGCAAUGCGAGCAAUCGUGACCAGGGAACUCCAAGUGGCUGGGGUAAUACCCAGUUUUUUCUUGACUCUUCAAAGGUCUUGGAAUAAGGGGUGGGUAAGGACGGUGCCAGCCGCCGCGGUAAUACCGGCGCCUCAAGUGGUAGUCGCUUUUAUUGGGCCUAAAACGUCCGUAGCCGGUCUGGUGCAUUCGUGGGUAAAUCAACCCGCUCAACGGGUUGAAUUCUGCGAGCACGGCCAGACUUGGGACCGGGAGAGGUGUGGGGUACUCUCAGGGUAGGGGUAAAAUCCUGUCAUCCUGAGAGGACCACCUGUUGCGAAGGCGCCACACUAGAACGGAUUCGACGGUCAGGGACGAAACCUAGGGGCACGAACCGGAUUAGAUACCCGGGUAGUCCUAGGUGUAAACGCUGUGGACUUGAUGUUGGGGGUGCUCCGAGCACUCUCAGUGUCGAAGCGAAGGUGAUAAGUCCACUGCCUGGGGAGUACGGUCGCAAGGCUGAAACUUAAAGGAAUUGGCGGGGGAGCACUGCAACCUGAGGAUUGUGCGGUUUAAUUGGACUCAACGCCGGGU
rnacentral:rRNA from 1 species